AGAAGAUCUGUGGUUAUAAUCCAAUAUGGCUGUCAAUCUCUCGAAUUAUCAGAACUACUUGAAUUUGUAAACAUCUAGUUUAUUUUUACAAGCAAAAUUUAUUCACUAUGAAAUAUAUUACAUCAUAAACUUAGAUGAUUUUUCUUCCAUUGCCUGAAUUGAGUAUGUGGCUUGCUGAUCUUAUAAUUUAUCCUGAAAUGUUAUGGAAUAUCGUCUAUAAGACAUAGGAUUUGCAGUGCAUAUGGAUACUAUGCCAGUCGGCAAAAAAUUCAAGAUGAAAUAUAACACAAGAUGUAUGAACAAUGGACUAAAAAGAGAAAUACCAACAACUUGAGAGGCCAUAACUACAAACUUCGGACAACACAGCGUCAGAGUUUCCUGUCUAACAGGGUCUUCGAGUCUUGGAACCUGUUGAUGUGGUGGAGGCUGAAUAUGUGAAUGGUUUCAAGAAUUCUCUUGACUGGUGGACUAGUGAUGGUGCGAAUGUGUGAAUUUUCGUUAAUGGUUUCAAUAAUUCUCUUGACAGGUGGACUAGUGAUGAUGAUGGUUUUGAGGGCAUGCACUUCACAGAAGCAUUAUUUUCUUCAGGCAUCAGGACUGAACUCGACCAAAUGGUUGAAUAUGAUUUCUUCGGGAGAAAAUAGAGAUGGAAGAAAAUGUGGAACUGUGAGCAACAGAAUACACGACUCAGGAUGUAGUCCCAAUUAUGGUACACCUCAGUGUUGGGGGUAUUGACCGAGACAUUGUCAUUGCAUCCGCUUAUUUCGCUGGAGAUGGGCCCACAACACCGUCAGCGGAAGUGCAGGGGCUAGUGAAAUACUGUAGCAGUAGAAAAUAUCCAGUCAUAAUAGGCUGUGACGCCAACGCACAUGAUAUCAUUUGGGGCAGCACGGACAACAACCUUAGAGGCCACCGUGGAGGUCCACCUCCUAGCACUGUGGGAAUCACUGUUCUACGUUUUCAUUUUUUAUGGAUUUAUUGAAGGUAGCGAGCAGACCUAGUAGAGCAAGAUCCCAAGAACCGUGAGACAUAACUUAUUUUCUGAAGGAUGAAACCGUAGGCUUUGAGUAGAGUCCCAUGUACUUGUAAUACCUGCGAGUUUGUGAAGUUCGCACAGUGACACAUUGGCAGGUACCAGGUCAAAAAGCUCAAAGGGGUUCCAAGAUUACCUUAGACAACAAUUUUGGGACACCCGACACAAACCAGGUCAUUACUUACUGGAAAACUCUUUGCUAUAAGACAAUCUUCUUCUCAAUUUAAGGUUUGAACAAUCUUUACAACUGAAUUGCAUAGACUUGAGUAAUUGAAAGCAUCCGUUUAAAAUAUUGAUUGUUAUAUGAUGAUAUUGAUUUUUUUAACAAUUUGUUCUCAUUUCUAGUUUGGAUCAGCCGAAUGGAAACUACGAUAAGUGAGGCAUUUGGAUUAGAGAACUGAACGAAGUUCAUUUGAAUGCAGGAAUUUUCAAACUAUACUAAACAAUGAAUCCAGUUGUUUAGAGGAAGGGGGAGGUCUGAAAAAAAUCUAGAAGAACCAGUGUACCCAUCAAGAAUGUAAAUGAAUGAAUAUAUAGUGGAUUUUAUAUUUGACAUGUAUUAAUUAAGUAAUAUGUUUUAAAUUGAGUAUAAACUACAAUUUAUAUUUUA